UAACUCAUUAUCUCCAUCGAUUAAUUAUUCUCUCGUACUUGAUGAAGCUACUACAAACAACAGACUUUGUGAGACUGUUACUGGACCGUACAAAGGAAACAAAGCUUACGGUUAUGGAAACUUGGUCCCCCCCAAGAAUAGAGGUAGAAGUCUUUAUCAGCAAAUUGUUGAUGGAGAAGGGUCUUCUAGUCCCCGGAAGUUAACGCUAAUAAAAUAAAUGAAUCAGUAGAUGACACAACAGCUAAAUCAACAACUGUCACGUAGUCAAAUGGAGGACCAAAAUUUGAGAGUCAAACUACAGCUGUUGGAGUAGCAUGAGAAACAAAUGAUGAAGCAACAAAAAAAAAUGUUUGAGAUGAUGCAGAAUCAAUAAAGAACUUAUCAAAAGAUGGAAAGGUGAUUCAGAAUAGCCAGAACCGCAAUCAUUGUCAUCCAUCGCCAAAUAUUUGGAUAUCGAGUUUCGGUGGCCACUAUGGAGGAGCUUAGGUGACCCCGUGACGGGAUGCAGAAGAGCUCCAACAACCCCCACAAUAUCAGUUGGUGGAGUUUUGGCAAGUGGCAAGUCAAGGUGGUCGGUGGUGGAGUGAUAAGACCGCAAAUAUAAGAUAUUAUUGCAUAGUAAAAGUUAUUGUUCCUAUAAGCAUUUUGUUAUAAGUAUCAAUUUUUCUUUGCUAUGAUGAUGAACUAACACUCUGAU